UGGUCUGGUUGGAAAACCAGGGACCACCCCAGGUGUGGGCGGGGAACCUGCCC
rnacentral:ncRNA from 1 species